rnacentral:rRNA from 1 species
GACGAACGCUGGCGGCGUGCUUAACACAUGCAAGUCGAGCGGAGAGGCCUCUUCGGGGUACUCGAGCGGCGAACGGGUGAGUAACACGUGAGUAAUCUGCCCUUCACUCUGGGAUAGCCACCGGAAACGGUGAUUAAUACCGGAUACGACACGUCCAGGCAUCUGGUGCGUGUGGAAACUUUUUGGGUGGGGGAUGUGCUCGCGGCCUAUCAGCUUGUUGGUGGGGUAAUGGCCUACCAAGGCUUCGACGGGUAGCCGGCCUGAGAGGGUGACCGGCCACACUGGGACUGAGACACGGCCCAGACUCCUACGGGAGGCAGCAGUGGGGAAUAUUGGACAGUGGGCGGAAGCCUGAUCCAGCAACGCCGCGUGAGGGAUGACGGCCUUCGGGUUGUAAACCUCUUUCAGCACCGACGAAGCGAUCCUUUGGGGAGUGACGGUAGGUGCAGAAGAAGGACCGGCCAACUACGUGCCAGCCGCCGCCGUAAAAC